GCAUGAUAGCUCAGUUAGUUAGAGCAUGGUGCUGAUAACACCAAGGUUACAGGUUCGAUCCCUAUAAGGGUCAGCUGCA
rnacentral:tRNA from 1 species